rnacentral:rRNA from 1 species
CAAUAGCGUAUAUUUAAGUUGUUGCAGUUAAAAAGCUCGUAGUUGGAUUUCGGAUGGGAUUUGCCGGUCCGUCGUUACGAUGUGCACUGGCCAGUCCUAUCUUGUUGUCGGGGACUAGCUCCUUGGAUUCACUUCCUGGGACUAGGAGCUGACGAGGUUACUUUGAGUAAAUUAGAGUGUUCAAAGCAAGCCUACGCUCUGAAUACAUUAGCAUGGAAUAACACGAUAGGACUCUGGCUUAUCUUGUUGGUCUGUGAGACCAGAGUAAUGAUUAAGAGGGACAGUCGGGGACAUUCGUAUUUCAUUGUCAGAGGUGAAAUUCUUGGAUUUAUGAAAGACGAACUUCUGCGAAAGCAUUUGUCAAGGAUGUUUCCAUUAA